GGASGGUGCAAGCGUUAAUCGGAAUUACUGGGCGUAAAGCGCACGCAGGCGGUUGGAUAAGUUAGAUGUGGAAGCCCCGGGCUCAACCUGGGAAUUGCAUUUAAAACUGUCCAGCUAGAGUCUUGUAGAGGGGGGUAGAAUUCCAGGUGUAGCGGUGAAAUGCGUAGAGAUCUGGAGGAAUACCGGUGGCGAAGGCGGCCCCCUGGACAAAGACUGACGCUCAGGUGCGAAAGCGUGGGGAGCAAACAGGAUUAGAUACCCUGGUAGUCCACGCCGUAAACGAUGUCGAUUUGGAGGCUGUGUCCUUGAGACGUGGCUUCCGGAGCUAACGCGUUAAAUCGACCGCCUGGGGAGUACGGCCGCAAGGUUA
rnacentral:rRNA from 1 species